rnacentral:lncRNA from 1 species
CCCGACUCUCCCUUCUCCAGCCAGGAGCUCUGGUCCAGUCAGUCCUCUCCUGGGGUCCCAGACACACGGACCAAGGUCGUGGAGGGAUGAGGUAGGUACCGAGCGGGGCUUUCGGGGAGCUCGGUCCCGCACAAGCUCAGCUCAGCGGCAGGAGGGCCGCAUUGGGGGCGGUGCCAGCUCCCCAGACCACCCCCCGACGCACCUGCUCCUGGAUGAGCUGCAGCAGCGAGCUCCUGUCCAUAGAGCCUGGCCGGGGGCCGGGGUCCGGGGUCGGCGGCCGCGGCCGGGAGGGGCUGCUCUGCGGACGACUCCGCUCCGCCCCAGCCGGCCCGCUCCGCCCGCUCCGCUCGGCGCCGCGCUUGGGCCGCGUCACCGAGUCGCCCGCCUGCCCGCCCCUGCCGCACACGCCGCCACGCGCGGCCAAGACACGCGCGCACCCUGCACGCGGACGCACACCCCGGACAGGAACCGCCUCCAGCUAGCACCGCGUCUCAGCGCCGGCCCCCACCCCCGCUCUGGCGCAGCUCCAGCACACUGGACUACCUCCACGGCAGCCGCUGGCUGACCCAGUACUCCCUGCGGUUCAUGUUGCCACCGGCUGGAGCUCCCUGCUUGCAGCAGACACACCCCCUCCCCCCGCAACCCCCCACCGAGCGCAGCAGCAAGGAAGUCCCUCGUCCCGCAUGGCCACUACAGCCGCCUCUUAGGAGGAGGAAGACGCUGCUGCAGCCGCCUUGGCUCUGACGACCAAGCCCAGCCCACUCGUCCACACCCUGGGCUGGAGGCCCCUGACCACUCUUGCAACUCCAUGCAGGACAGCAAAACCUCCCGCCCUAAGGCGGCGCCAGGGCUGGGCACAAGGGGCAUUCCAACACAGAGCAGAACCCCCAGGGGGCAGGGCUGCAGUUGGGAUGAGGGGACCUGCUCCUGGGAAGGCGGGCCAACCCCUCCACAAUGGAGGUGACAGAUAAGACACGUGUGACUAUGGCAGCCCCUGCAAGGGCCACUCAGAGGGCUUCUCCUAGGGUUGCAGUAGUCCCAGAAGACAGGCCGUGGGGGUACAGCGGGCUCAAAUACCAUCAGUCGGGAGGGACCUCAGGGGCCAAUGCCACAAGCUCCAAGGCAGGGCCCGUGUGGGCCAGGACUUGGGAAGGGGCCCCACCUGCCACUCCCUAAAGGCAGACAUGGGAGGGGGGGGACCAGGCCUUCUGAUACUUGUCCGGGUGACCUUGGGAAGGCCACGCCCUGGGUCCCGAGAAGCAGGCAUCUGGGCUCAACUCCCAGCCCGUCCCUCCCUCUGGCCCAUCCUGCUUCCCUCAGGUCAGGGCCCCAGGGUCACCCCGUUCUGUGGCAGGCAGUGACCACAUCUGGUCACACAAGCCCAGGUUCUCGGCGCAGCUCAGCCAGGCUGGCAGGACGCUCUGGGGAGUGAGUGGGCAGUGCCAGGGCACACUGGACCCUGAGAAGGGGUCAGUCACCGGGGAAACAUCUCAGGCACCGGCG